AGAAGAGGAUGGGAUCCCCUUCAUUCUGAAAAUGGGAUAGUUUACUAGUUAACCAUUAUCUUUGGAAAAUAUGAAGGCAACAGGAACAGGAUAGGACCGUGUUGAUGAAAUCACGCAGCCUUGACCCGAGCGCUGGAGAAAAGUUCUCAGUAGAUCGAGUUACGGAGAAAAGUUUUUAUCAAUAGGUCGAUAUUUCUGUUGAUAUUUUUCAUAAUUUGAAAGAAAA
rnacentral:misc_RNA from 1 species